CUGCUGCCUCCCGUAGGAGUUUGGGCCGUGUCUCAGUCCCAAUGUGGCCGUUCACCCUCUCAGGCCGGCUACUGAUCGUUGCCUUGGUAGGCCAUUACCCCACCAACUAGCUAAUCAGACGCGGAACCAUCGUAUACCACCAGAGUUUUUCACACCGCUUCAUGCGAAGCUGUGCGCUUAUGCGGUAUUGGCACCUAUUUCUAAGUGUUAUCCCCCAGUAUACGGCAGGUUUUCCACGCGUUACUCACCCGUCCGCCA
rnacentral:rRNA from 1 species